AGCAUCGAGUCUCUGCAGCACAGAGAACUGCAGAGGAAAGACUGUCUUCCAGGGCCCGGCCCCGAGUCUGGGUCCAGAAACAUCAUUCCGUGCUUAUGAAGAGAGAUACUUAAGACAGAAAGCCCAGGGGCCUCUCUUUAAAGUGGGAGAGGGCAGGAUGGGCUGCAGACCACUAGAGCAGCAGCAGAGGGUGACAUCAGAGCCCGUGGUGGGUUCUGCCCUAGCACAGCACAUGUUUCUCUUUUGGUUGUUGCCACAAAGUCUGCUCCAACCGCUCCCCUCCCCCCACAGCUGGGCGGACAGAAAGCAAUUGCAGAUGUGACCUAACGUGACACCGGGUAUGUAAUAGAAUAGCACUUAGGGGGCCAGCAUUCUUGACAUUGCCGACUUUUUCUA
rnacentral:lncRNA from 1 species